CCUACGGGAGGCAGCAGUGAGGAAUAUUGCACAAUGGGCGAAAGCCUGAUGCAGCAACGCCGCGUGAGCGAUGAAGGCCUUCGGGUCGUAAAGCUCUGUCCUCAAGGAAGAUAAUGACGGUACUUGAGGAGGAAGCCCCGGCUAACUACGUGCCAGCAGCCGCGGUAAUACGUAGGGGGCUGGCGUUAUCCGGAAUUACUGGGCGUAAGGGGUGCGUAGGUGGUUUCUUAAGUCAGAGGGUAAAGGCUAGGGCUCAACCGUAGUAAGCCUUUGAAACUGGGGAACUUGAGUGCAGGAGAGGAGGGUGGAAUUCCUAGUGUAGCGGUGAAAUGCGUAGAUAUUAGGAGGAACACCAGUUGCGAAGGCGGCUCUCUGGACUGUAACUGACACUGAGGCACGAAAGCGUGGGGAGCAAACAGGAUUAGAUACCCCAGUAGUC
rnacentral:rRNA from 1 species